AAGUUCAUAUAUGUGCUAGCUGGCUGGGAAGGAUCAACACAUGAUGCUAACAUUCCAAGUCACAACAUGACUAGACCUGAUGGCAUCAAUGUCCCUGAUGGCAAGUUCUACAUAGGAGAUGCUGGCUAUGCAUGUCGGCCAGGUGUUCUUCUACCCUUGAGGAAAACCAGGUACCAUCUGAACGAGUUCUCUGGUAGGAACUAUCCUAGGACUCCAUAUGAAUUGUUUAAUAUCAGACACUCCAGCCUUAGAGUUACAGUUGAGAGUGCAUUUGGACUUCUGAAGAAUAGGUUUAAGAUCCUGCAUCAGAAGCCAUUUCACACUUUCCCCAUUCAGAUUAAGCUUGUUCUUGCUUGUUGCAUUCUGCAUAACUGA
rnacentral:rRNA from 1 species